CGAAGUUCAAACAAGCAACACCUUCGGAAUUGAACUCCAAAUUCUCAGUGAUUUUCGGUUGACUUACAAAAUUUACAAGUUUUCGGCUAGUUUUAAGAAUAAAGUUUUGUUAUUUAAUAUUAGUUCUAAGUAUAAAGUGAAAAUAUUUAUAUCGGAUCACUGUGCACCAGAAUUCUUGAAGCACCAAAAAAUGACUCGGCUCUUCUUUUUCUUUUAGUUUUGAUAACACAAAAACCAUUUUUUUGUUAUUGUUUUCAACACAUUUACAUUUGUUUUCGGUAUAUGCAGGACUAAUAUAACAAACCGUUUCUAUAAUAGCGGUAAGAUCAUUUUACGCCUAACUCUUGCUCCGAACCCACCAUUCCCCAAUCAAGCACACCAUAUUGCCCAAGCCGGAGACUUUCCAUUAUAGCCGUGACACCUUUACUUGUGUUCUUCUUGCAGGAUAUUAUAUAUUAAAAGCAGAAACUCGACUAGCCUAAACACCCAUAUGAUAUUCUUCAGUUCGCAGAAUAUAUAUGGAUAUAAUACUAAUACCAAUAAGUGUAGUCCUAGCGGUAUCCUACGCUGACAACGGGCAAUUAGAAUUAACUCUUGCCCCGUAUUCAAAGCAGAUCACUGUCUCUCUCUCUGGACACCAUCAAACACAACAUACCUCGAUCGAACACACCUUGAUGGCCAAGCUGGACUCUUUGAUGACACCUUUACUUGUGUUCUUCUUGCAGGAGAUUACAUAUUAAAAGCAGAAACUCGACUUGACUGAACACUAUGAUAUUCAUCAUAAUAUAUGGAUGUAAUACAAAAACAUAAAUAAUAAAUU
ensembl:ncRNA lncRNA:CR43803 long non-coding RNA:CR43803